rnacentral:rRNA from 1 species
GAUGAACGCUGGCGGCGUGCCUAAUACAUGCAAGUCGAGCGAACAGACGAGGAGCUUGCUCCUCUGACGUUAGCGGCGGACGGGUGAGUAACACGUGGAUAACCUACCUAUAAGACUGGGAUAACUUCGGGAAACCGGAGCUAAUACCGGAGAAUAUAUUGAACCGCAUGGUUCAAUAGUUAAAGACGGCUUCGCUGUCACUUAUAGACGGAUCCGCGCCGCAUUAGCUAGUUGGUAAGGUAACGGCUUACCAAGGCAACGAUGCGUAGCCGACCUGAGAGGGUGAUCGGCCACACUGGAACUGAGACACGGUCCAGACUCCUACGGGAGGCAGCAGUAGGGAAUCUUCCGCAAUGGGCGAAAGCCUGAUGGAGCAACGCCGCGUGAGUGAUGAAGGUCUUCGGAUCGUAAAACUCUGUUAUUAGGGAAGAACAAAUGUGUAAGUAACUAUGCACGUCUUGACGGUACCUAAUCAGAAAGCCACGGCUAACUACGUG